rnacentral:snoRNA from 1 species
AACCCAUGGUAAGGGCACCUUUUCAAAAGGUCCUUGUAUCUCUCCCAUGCAUCGUAGAGUAUUUCCAAAUCCAUCUGCACAAAAGAGGAGAUAUCAUUACGUAAUUU